ACGAACGCUGGCGGCGUGCUUAACACAUGCAAGUCGAACGGAAAGGCCCUGCUUUUGUGGGGUGCUCGAGUGGCGAACGGGUGAGUAACACGUGAGUAACCUGCCCUUGACUUUGGGAUAACUUCAGGAAACUGGGGCUAAUAUCGGAUAGGAGCUCCUGCUGCAUGGUGGGGGUUGGAAAGUUUCGGCGGUUGGGGAUGGACUCGCGGCUUAUCAGCUUGUUGGUGGGGUAGUGGCUUACCAAGGCUUUGACGGGUAGCCGGCCUGAGAGGGUGACCGGCCACAUUGGGACUGAGAUACGGCCCAGACUCCUACGGGAGGCAGCAGUGGGGAAUAUUGCACAAUGGGCGGAAGCCUGAUGCAGCAACGCCGCGUGCGGGAUGACGGCCUUCGGGUUGUAAACCGCUUUCGCCUGUGACGAAGCGUGAGUGACGGUAAUGGGUAAAGAAGCACCGGCUAACUACGUG
rnacentral:rRNA from 1 species